CGAGAAACAAAAAACUGAAAGGGAGCUAGAGGUUCGAGUCCAGAGAUUGAAUAUAGAGAAGGGGAAACUAAGUACGGACCUGUAUCACAUGAAACGCUCUCUCAGAUACUUUGAAGAGGAGUCCAAGGAUCUGGCUGGCCGCCUGCAAUGUUCAUCGCAGCAUAGAGGAGAGUUAGAGCAGGUUCUGUCUGCUGUCACCGCCACACAGAAGAAGAAGGCAAAACGG